UACGAAGGGGGCUAGCGUUGCUCGGAAUCACUGGGCGUAAAGCGCACGUAGGCGGCUUCUUAAGUCAGGGGCGAAAUCCUGGAGCUCAACUCCAGAACUGCCUUUGAUACUGAGGAGCUCGAGUCCGGGAGAGGUGAGUGGAACUCCGAGUGUAGAGGUGAAAUUCGUAGAUAUUCGGAAGAACACCAGUGGCGAAGGCGGCUCACUGGCCCGAUACUGACGCUGAGGUGCGAAAGCGUGGGGAGCAAACAGG
rnacentral:rRNA from 1 species